rnacentral:rRNA from 1 species
UACGUAGGUGGCAAGCGUUGUCCGGAUUUACUGGGCGUAAAGGAUGCGUAGGCGGACAUUUAAGUCAGAUGUGAAAUACCCGAGCUUAACUUGGGUGCUGCAUUUGAAACUGGGUGUCUAGAGUGCAGGAGAGGUAAGUGGAAUUCCUAGUGUAGCGGUGAAAUGCGUAGAGAUCGGGAGGAACACCAGUGGCGAAGGCGGCUAACUGGACUGUAACUGACGCUGAAGCGCGAAAGUGUGGGGAGCAAACAGG